rnacentral:rRNA from 1 species
UACAGAGGUCCCAAGCGUUGUUCGGAUUCAUUGGGCGUAAAGGGUGCGUAGGCGGCGCGGUAAGUCGGGUGUGAAAUCUCGGGGCUUAACUCCGAAACUGCAUUCGAUACUGCCGUGCUUGAGGACUGGAGAGGAGACUGGAAUUUACGGUGUAGCGGUGAAAUGCGUAGAUAUCGUAAGGAAGACCAGUGGCGAAGGCGGGUCUCUGGACAGUUCCUGACGCUGAGGCACGAAGUCCAGGGGAGCAAACGGG